CCUACGGGAGGCAGCAGUGGGGAAUAUUGGGCAAUGGACGCAAGUCUGACCCAGCAACGCCGCGUGAAGGAAGAAGGCUUUCGGGUUGUAAACUUCUUUUAAGGGGGAAGAGCAGAAGACGGUACCCCUUGAAUAAGCCACGGCUAACUACGUGCCAGCAGCAGCGGGAAUACGUAGUUGGCAAGCGUUGUCCGGAUUUACGGGGUGUACCGGGCGUGCAGGCGGAGAGACAAGUCAGAUGUGAAAUCCACGGGCUCAACCCGUGAACUGCCUUUGAAACUGUUUCCCUUGAGUGUCGGAGAGGUAAUCGGAAUUCCUUGUGUAGCGGUGAAAUGCGUAGAGAUAAGGAAGAACACCAGUGGCGAAGGCGGAUGACUGGACGAUAACUGACGGUGAGGCGCGAAAGCGUGGGGAGCAAACAGGAUUAGAUACCCGUGUAGUC
rnacentral:rRNA from 1 species